ensembl:lncRNA
GCUGGAAACAAACCAGGAACAAGGAAACUAACUGGAAAUCAUUUGCCAGAACCUACUCCACAAUUUUUGUGUGAUUUUUAGAAUAAAAUGUACCAGAAGCUCUAACAUCUGUUACUUAAGUAAAAGUACUGAGAGCACAGUGUAGAAGUACUCAGCUACGAGUAAAAGUACUGCGAGAACAGUGUAGAAGUACUCUGCUAUGAGUAAAAGUACUGCGAGAACAGUGUAGAAGUACUCAGCUAUGUGUAAAAGUACUGCAAGAACAGUGUAGAAGUACUCUGCUAUGAGUAAAAGUACUGCGAGAACAGUGUAGAAGUACUCAGCUACGAGUAAAAGUACUGAGAGAACAGUGUAGAGGUACAGCCUGUUUAACACUUUGGGAUAGUAUCAGCAAACCAUUUAAGUAGCUCUGGGUUGCUGAAGUGGCUCCUGUCGUUUAAAUCCACGUCCUUGGAUUUUAAAGUUCAGCUCCUGCUAACGGAAUCACACAGGCCUGGGAAUCAGCCUGUUCAUCAGUCAGCGUGUGUCUCUCGUCCAGGAUGAACGUGCUGCUCUCUCUCUCUCUCUGGUUCGCUCUGCUCGUGUCGACCUGCAGUGGAAAUGUAGGAAGCCAUGAAGAAGAAGAAGUGACCCCAGAUUAUGAGUUCUGGACAGUGACAGCGACACCAGACUACGACUACAACGCCACCUUCGAAUACUACUACGUGACCGGACCUUACGAAGUCAGGAACAAGGCGUCAGGGAUUGGUCAGCUGAGCCCGGUGCUCCUUCUGGGAUUGGCUGUCCAUCAGAUCUGGAACUGACAAGGGGCGGAGUCAGGGAGCACCUGCAGACAGAAACAGUAAAAGUGAACAAGUGACUGUCAUCUCCUCCUGGAGGCGUGUGAAGAUCCACAGACCAUCGGCUGCUGAUCAAUAACUGAUCACAUCAAUAACACAUGACGCCAACAGUGAGACUGAAACCAGCUGAUUGGUUCAUUUUAAUCACAUUCAUGUUUGUGUCCUGUAAUAAAUGAUUUCACACAGAAAGUCUGAUGCCACUUCGUGUCUGAUGUUACUGACGGGGCUCCUGAGGUAGAUCAGGUCUCUCAUGGACCAGGGGGUUGGUGGUUUGAUCCCUGGCUUCACUGGUCCACAGGUGGAAGUGUCCUUGGGCAAGACACUGAAGCCCAAGUCACCCCUGGUGGCUGCUCCGCUGUUGGGUGUGUGGGUGAAUGGACACAUAGUGUAAAAGUGCUUUGAGUCCACUUGGCUGUAGAAAAGCGCGAUACAAGUAUAAGAUCAUUUAUUUAUCGAUUCACUUAUUGAUCAACACACAAACUCAUUAAUGUCCCAUGUUGCUCUCUGCUGCCACCUGCUGGGCCAAAACAUAAUGACUGAACUGGGACAUAAUUUAAAAUUCACUUUUUCAUUGGUUUAUUGGUUAAUUUAUCACAACAGUAUGGAGCAUGUCGUUAAACACAGCUGUGAAUUAUCUCUCUGUUUAUACAAAUAGUAUCAUACAUCAACAAGGGAACAAGUACUCAGACACUUUACUGCAGUAACAGUAGAAAUACCACAGUAAGAGUCCUGCAUUCGACAUGUUACUGCAGUAAAAGUCCAAAAGUACCAUCGUCCAAAUGUACUUGAAGUACACAAAGUAAAAGUACUCAUUGUGCAGAAUGGCCCAUUUCACAUGAAUGGGUCUGAUAUUAUUGGAUUCUAAUUAGCACAACAUGGAAAUACUCAAGUACUAAUACCUUCAAAUUUGUAUUUGUCCUUAAAGUCAUUUUCUGUUGCUUUUUAGUCCGUUUCUGUUCCUUGUUAGUGGUUUUGUGUCUCUUUAGUUUGUUUGUAGUCCUCACAUAGUUUUGUUGACAGGUGAUUCAGGGCCAGAUAAGCACAGGUGGAUGCUUCAAGGUUCAGGUGAAUCUUUGCUGACGUCCGCCGUGGAGAAGUGGAUCACAGUGUGACGUUUUUCCAUUAACUGGUCCUAAAUAAGGAAAAGAUUAUGUUUGCUGGGAGAGCAGAAGAUUAACUGUUUAUGUAACUGACACAAUACAGGCUGUAAUGAAAGUGCUGAUCUAGUCUGAUCUGCACAGGGUCCUGGUCUCCAGUUUGACCAUUUCCAGGUGACUUAUUGGUUCAGUUUAAAGCUGCAUUUAAACACAGUGGGAGUGUAAAACAGGUUAAAAGAAAAACUGCCUGUCUGUGGAGUAUUUAGCUGGAGAGACUGUACAUUUCUGAUGACUCUUUCAUAUUUAAAACAUCUCUCUGAGGGUAGGAUCUCAGGGGUCAGUCCACCUGAUCAGCUUUCUUAAUAAAAAUGUUUCUUACUUUGAUUUUCUCUCUAACAUUCAGAUUUCAGGGCCAUAUGCUCAUAUUCUAAAAUACUUUCCAGCAGAUUCAGAGUUUGUUGACCAACCUUAGAGUCAGUUCACCUGCUCCACAGGUGCAGUGCGUCUGGGGCUUUUCCAUAAUGUUCAGUACUCAGAGGAAGGUUUUCAAAGGCGGCUUGUGUGUUGUUUUAGUGGAACACAUGAAUUCUGUGUGUCUGUGUCUGUGUUGGGAAAUGAGUCUAAUCCCAUUAACCCGUUUUCACUCCUCCAAGUGUCUCUUGCAUAAGCAGCAGCAGGUUAAUCUGAGAGUCUACACCAUAGCUCAUCAGCUGCUC